rnacentral:lncRNA from 10 species
AAAAAAAAAAAAAUCCAAAGGUCAAACUCAGUUUGCAGGAAGGAGCAUAGGAGAAUAAAGGAUGGAACAAAGAAGAAAAAGAACAGCAAGUUACUCUGAGUAUUGUGGAAACAAACUGAAAUUAGAGUGAGAGAGAGAGAGAAAAAAAAAGAAGGUCCGAGCAAUCUCAGAUAUAUGAGAGGCCAAGAUGGGAAGAUCACUUGGGUAAGACUGGGAAGAUUGAGUCUGCAGUGAGUCACAGUCGCAUCAUUCUGCUGGAUUUGAAUGGUACUGCUUCUGGCCCAAGUUGUCUGGGCAACCUUAGACAUGGGUGUCCAUCGCGCUUCCUUCACUGCCUUGAUCAUGUCGGGGUCACCACCUGCGGGGGUUUGUCCUGCAGACCCUGACUCAACGACGGAUGAAUAAUGUACACUGACACAGAUCUUAUGCUUGUCAGUCCUGCUGAGCAUCCAGGCCACUUACAGACUCCAAGAAGAGUCCUGUCAGCCACGGCUCUGACUUGUUGGCCCUCCCGGCAUUUAUUUAGCACACAUUUAAUGACAGAAGUCUCAGGCUGGAAACACUCUUUUUGUAGAACAUACAAAUGGACAUUUCUAAGCACAUUGAGGCCUAUAAUGAAAAAUCAAAUAUCCCACAAUGAAAACUAGAAGGAAGCUAUCUGUGAUAAUGCUUUGUGGUGUAUGGAUUCAUCUCACUGACUGAAACCUGAGUUUUGAUUCACCAGGUUGGAAACUCUUUCUGCAGAAUCUGCAAAGAAAUAUUUCUGAGCCCAUUGAGGCCUACAGUGGAAAACUGAAUAUUCUGUGAUAAAACUAGAAACACCCUAUCUGUGAAAAUGCUUUGUGAUGUGUGGAUUUUUCUCAUCGAAUGGAACCUCUGUUUUGACUCACAAGGGUGAAACACUAUUUUAGUAGAAUCUAGGAAGAAACAUAUCUGAGCCCAUUUAUGCCUACAGUGAGAAACUGAAUACCCUGCAAUAAAAAGUAGACAGAAGCUAUUUGUAAAAAUGCUUUGUGAUGUGUGGAUUCAGUGUUAAACUUUUAUUUUGAUUCCACAGUUUUGACACCCUAUUUGUAGAAUAUAUGAAUGAACAUUUCUCAGC